rnacentral:lncRNA from 1 species
ACAAACACAUUCAUAUUUUUCUUCAUAACACAAAAAAACAUCAUCAUGUGUCCAUCUGACCGCAACCUCCGCCCACAACCUACCGCAACCGAUUUUCGACCGGCAUUCGACAUUCUUGACACCGAUUGCGAUGGCAAAAUAAGCCGUGAUGACCUCCGUUCGUUCUACACCACCGUGACAGGUGGUGUGAACGGAGGAGACGAUGCAAUCCGUGCCAUGAUGUCGGUGGCGGACACCA